CGGAAAGGGCAUGGUUUCAGUUAGGUUUUUGAAUUAUUUAGGCCUGCCAACAACUCCUACUCCUCCAUCAGGGACCCAUGGGGAAUCCAUAAACCCAAGUUAGGCCUCACUUCAAGUUUAGCUUUGUCAAUAUGCAGAGAAGAGCAGACCUGAGCCUCACAAAUGAAAUACAACUUGACCAAAACCACUCAGUGAUUUGGUGGCAGGCCUCUGAAAUCCUAACCUAAUGUUGCUCUGUUGAACGAUGCUGUCUUUUGUGAACUCUUUGGGCUGUGAUGCAGGCCCUUUGGCUCUGGACAUAAUUCAUCAUUCUAGAAGAAUGGAGAACAGUAUUUCACAGAGAGACACGGCGGUGGGGAAGACACCUAGACUUCGGGAUUUCCAGGACUGGCCCUAUCUCCUGCUGGGUGUGAGGACUCUGGCCAAGUUUGCCACCUCUCCGGGGUUUCAUUUUUCUCUUAGGGCUUUGUGAGUACAAAAUGAGACAAUGAGUCUUUCCUUUCUGUGAAAACUAUAAAAUGCCAUAUGAAUUUGAGCAGAGGGAGGUAGCACAUAAAAGAUUCUAGUCCACAAGACAGUGUUCAAGCAAGCACUGAGCGCAGGCACAAGCACAGCUUGCCCUGAUGGGCUUUUGUUAUGAAGAAAUGGUCUUGAAUCUCAGCCUAAACAAACAAUGGGGAAGCGUCUUGGCAAAAGAUAAGGAGCAAGAAUGUGUUUUUGCACUAGACCUUCUUGUUCUUUAGAUGAUAUCAACUUCUAGCAGAAUGCCAACUAAAGUUGCAAAGAAAACAAACAGUUCUGCACAUUUCCUGCCAUCUAAGGCUGACCCCCCAUCUCCCAAUUCUUUUUUGCCUGUUUGUGAUUGGAGGGCCUACUGUCCUCUCAGACUGACCAAAGGGUUAUGAUUUGCGGUCAUCGUCAUCGUGAGCAGCACCCAACUACUACUCGAGAUACCCAGGCCUAGCUUACAGGAAGCAGGGGACGGAGUCCUGUAUUCAGGCACCUUGGAUGUGUGGGUUCCCCCAGCAGCUGAGCAUCACCCCAGCCUGCUCCUUCCAGGUGACACUAAGGAAGUGCAACCCCUCCCAGAAGAGCAUGAGCCUGGUGAAGUCCUCAGUGGAACCAGAACUGUUCUUCUCGUCAAGCAGUUAUCUAUGUUAUCUUUCUUGGCACGAUUGUCUUAUGGAUUAGGGAGAUUAGGGGUAAUAAAUGUCUCGUUUGAGUGACAAGCUGGAAAUGUGACUUU
rnacentral:lncRNA from 1 species